rnacentral:rRNA from 1 species
GAGAUAGCUGGUGCUCACGAAAAGAAUUUAAGUUCUGCCUUAUGAUUACUUACGACACUUUAAAGUAGUAAAGCAAUUUUAAGAGUAAUUCAAUAGGGGUACAGCCCGAUUGAAAAAGAAAACAAUCUACACCUUUGGGUAAAGAUCAUAGAAUAUAAGGGUUUUGCCAGAGUGGGCCUAAAAGCAGCCACCUCAACAGAAAGCGUCACAGCUCAUGCAAAGCUUAACCAACAAUACCGUUAAACCCUCUAAACCCAUAAAUACUAAUGAGCCUCUCUAUAUUUUUAUAGAACAGUUUAUGCUAGAACUAGUAACACGAAAUAAUUCUCUAAAUGCAAGUGUAAAUCAGAUCGAAAACCUCACUGAUAAUUAACGUACCACAUGAAGGAACUGUAGUAACUCAUCAAGAAAAUCCUACAACCCCCACCGUUAAUCUAACACAAGAGCAUAAAAGAAAGAUUAAAAGAUAUAAAAGGAACUCGGCAAACAUGAACUUCGCCUGU